GAUUAUUAGCAGUGCCAAACGUAACUCGUUCGGGGGAGAGGCCGUCCUCCUCCUUUUGCUGCCUGAAUGUAUUCACUUUCCUCAGUGGUAAUAUAUCAAAUUUUUACGUGUGCUCUUUUAACAGCUGGAGCAGCCAUCCCCCCCCCCCAAUUGCGCAUUUUUGUCCAUUCAUUCACUUUUUUACUGCCUGUCUAGGGUCCAAAAUGAACACUUGCUCAACCAGUUGACAGUAGAUAAAUCAGCGGGGGUCACCUGCCCCACAGACUGCUGUCACUUUGAGUCGCUAACAGUGGAGUGGGUUACAUUUGUUCUCAGUUUUCUCUGUAAAGUCUUUGUAAGGGAAUAAUAUCAGAGGCUGUGUAAAUGAGCUCUUUCUGCGACACAGAGCGGUUGUGUGAGUUAUCCCCAUGUGGCUCUCACAUUAGGUCCCCAGAAAUAUGAAGCUGUAUGAGAUUCUCUACACAGGGGAAAUGUAUAUGAACUCAAUUAUUUUAAUUUUGGGAUAUUUAAUUUAGUCUCUUUGUAAAUCCCUCUUCCUCUCGCCCCGGCCAUGUCACAGUACUGCCUUCAUCUCUUAAUCAGCUGCAGAGCCUCCGGGCCGCAGCGCAGCCGCACAGCAGCGUGUCCCGCCGCGGUCAGGGAGAACACGUCCUGUAUCCCUCCUCCAACCUCCCGUUGCUGCACAUUUUCUUGUUCUUGGGUUAAUGGUGAAAUCUCGGAUUGUAGAAUGUAAAUAUAUUUUUUUGUUUUUCGGUCAAUAUUAAUUAUUUAUUUUGUAUUGUUUGCGAAGUCUCAACUUCUUUCGGUCACAGGCAGGGCUGCUUUCUGUUGUUGUUGUUGGAAGAAAAACAACAUUUCAAAUGUCCUUUUACCGUGUUUCCACAGAGACGGCAUCAUCUUUUAAGUUUGUGGCAGAAGCAGUGUUGUGCUCUAGCCAAAUAGUUUAGUAAUAAAUGUUAGACAGCUAACCUUUAUUACCGUGUUCUAGUUAACUGUGGAAACAUAGAAGCACAUUUCUUUAAAUCGAGGGGAUCUGGGUUGAUCAUCUCACGAUAGACGUGCUGAAGGUCUUUGCACUUUUGCAGAUACCACACUCAUUUUAGUAUUUCAACUCAGCAUGCACAUAGAACAUGUUCAGUAUUACACAAUCAACCCCUUCUCCCCUCCUCAUGCAAAAUAUGUGAGAAUAUCAAAAAGUUAUAUCUGUUUUUUUGUCAUUGUAUCAAAUCAAUGUAUUAAUCAUCUUUAUAUAGUGAUGGUGCAUUUCAAUACUGCUUUAUCAAAGCAGGGAUUUGUUUUAAAGUUUUUGGCGAAUUACAUUUCAAUGAGGUUUUCUGUUUCUACUUCUUGCAUAUUGACAUUGACAGUACACACAGAUUCUCUUCCAUUCCUGUCAAUCUGCUGCAGUCUGUUUCAUUGUUCCAUGCGUUCCUGUUCCCUUACACUCUCUCUCCGCUGUGCUGUGCAGCAGCGUGUGUGUGUGUGUGUGUGUGUGUGUCCGGUCCCUGUUGAGAGCGAAGGCACGGGGAACAGCUGACCAUUGCACUAUCACGAGGCGCUCUCAGUGCCUUACACCUCAUCUCCUGGAAACUGUAGCGAGGAGAGCCGCCGCAGCUGAUCCAGUGUCUGAGAUCAGCUCCGGGUCAGGACUGGUUAUGAAUUUGUACGCAUGCUGGAGGAGUUCAAAUGAGUUGGACCCAAAUCGCCUCAUCUUCAUAACCUGUUCAUGUUAAAGCAGAAUGUAUUCGCUUUGAUCUUCGAUCAUAUUUCAAAAGAUUUUCUUUUUUCCAUUCCUCCAUGAUCAGAAGAAAGUCAAAGUGUUAUGGUUUUUUUAUAUACAGUUAUGGCUUUCUGCAACUCAAUAAAUACGUUUGUAAUGGAUAUUUGCCUUUGCAUGUUUGUAUCUUU